rnacentral:lncRNA from 1 species
AGUCGGUAUAGUUUCGGUUUGUGCCCUUUGAACUUAAGGACGCUAAACUAUGGCAACAUAAUACGCAUGCUCGAAAAUCCUUUCUGUGAUUGGACAAAAUGCUGUCAUGGUGGGUGAUUUGGUUGUGUUUGAAAAAACGUCUCGUUAAUUAUAUCGUGAUGGAAAGGAAGUGAAAAACUAUAAAUAUUUGAACUAGAUCUUUAAUACAAAUAUUUAUAUUUUUAUUAAAAUAAUUGUUUCUCCAAUAGCUCUUUGCAUCCGUGACAGCUGUUUAUUCGGGACAAUUAUAUAAUUUUUGAUGUAAACUUUGU